UUGAAAAGUUUAAUUUUGUGGGUUUAUGUUAAUAUGGGGAAUAUGCAUAAUUAUAUAGGCAUGGCCUAAGAUAAGUACUGUAUAUUGAUUCUCUUUAAGAUCAAGCCUAUGUAUUUUAUUGUUGCAUGACAUGUGAUGUUUUGGGUUGUUUGUGUUGAAAUAGUUUGGACGCACUAGGACCCAGAGCAGACGCAAAUUAAGGACAACCAGCACAUAAGAGGCUUAGUACAUCUAAUCUAUACUCCUACACACACACACACACACACACACACACAGCAUUUCAUAAACAUCCCAUUUUGAAACAAGCACGCAUACACGUCCCAAAGGCAAACACAGCCAUUGUAUUUUCAUUUAGUUUUCAUUUUCUCCAAACUCUUUUAUUCCCCUUGUUGACCUUAACUUCCAUCCCACUUUGUUGGAGAACAUUGGCCCAUAUGCUCCACUAUUUCUCUCAUCGCAUUUCAUUAGCAAACGUGUAUCCAUGUGUCCUUCAAUGAACUAAGAGGCAGAGAGAAAACUCAUUCGUUCUAGACAAUUAUAGCAAAACAGGACCAUUCUCACACAAUCUUCCUCAUCCGUUGGGUCAUGUAUGCAUGUAUAUCUGUGCAAUACAGCCGCCUGUUUUACUAUUAAAUCAACCGUACAGCCACUCUGACAGAUCAAAACUGAAAAAGGAUUUCAAACUGAAAUUAAAAUGAAAUUCGACUCGGGCAUGGCUUCAACACAGUCCUCAUUCUGAUGAAGCUUCCUAGGCCCUUUUAUUAACUGAAACUACAGUUUCUUUCUAUUUUGUUUUACAGAAAAUUGAGAGUAAUGAAACAAAAUUUUCCCAGAAUCAUCCCUGGUAAACCAGCUUUUGUUAUGCGCAUUUGAUUCCAAUCAAUUGACCAGUUUGUGUGUAUGAUGAUGCUGAAAAUAUGAAAAGAGGAAAAACUUGUAAUCAUUAAUGCUCGUGUCUCCCUUAUUGAAUGAUCAAUGACGUGACAUAAACCAAAAACCAUCACGUCCCAAAAGACCCAAAACACACACACACACACACGCAUUAUAUAACACUUUUCCAGCUGUUAAGUACCUCUGACAUCAUGUUGUUCAAUACACACACUGUAUUUUUGUAUGUCUGUGUGUGCACACUGUGUGCUUAUAGUGUAUGUGUGUAUGUGUCUGUGUGACAGUUACACACACACACACAAACACACACACACACACACACACACACGCACACACACACACACACACACACACAGAGUUCAGCCGAUUUAUCAUAAUAUGCUUUAUCUGAAAAGUAAGUAUCUUACCUCGGGAUAAAGGGAGGAAAGAGGGGUUUGUGGCCAGAUUGACAGAGGAAGGGUGGAUGGAGAGAACCGAGUGCUCGCUGCACAGGGACAGAGAGCAGGACCGGCACUUCUGUGGCUGGAUCGAUCACUAUUGAUAAGCUUAUCAUGUGCAUGCAGUGCCAGACAUGAGGAUGAAGAGGGAAACAUGAGACAUGUGCACCUUCAAGUCACCAGUUAGAACACCAACCUUCUCUUUUUCACUGUAUUCAGAAGGCCAGUUUACUUUUACCAGUACACUGUUGUUUCUGUAAAUAAAUGUGAAAACAAAUAUACUAAGUGCAAAGUACAUGUAUUUGACUCAUGGUAACGUAAUGGCUUUACCCAUCAAGAUGGCUGUUGGCAUGGGGUUAAUGUAGGCCAAGAGAUUUCAUAUGCCAGGAUUUGUAUGCUUGUAUACAGACUUUCUUUAUCUAAGAAGACAUGAAAUGCUCCAGCAUGUAAGGUAAAGUGCGCACAGAGAAGAAUUAAGUUAAAAGGCCUAUCAAUGUAACUUAGGAUCGUCUUGCACUAGUAGCUUUAAGUAGACUAGCAGGGCUUUUUCCUGCUCUCACUGAAAAUAACUAAUACAAGCCUCAUAGCCUAAAUCCUAAUUAUGUCUGCAAACAAACUGAGGAUCCACUAUUUAACUAUACCUGUUCUCAGUCCCAGAAGUGAGUAACUGUGACAAGUCAGAUUAGUCCGUUUUUUUAAAAUAACCCUACUAUAUUAUUCAUUACCUUUUAAAAUUAUUAUCUGUCUGGAAUUGGGACCCCAAGCCUGCAGAAUUACAUCAUGUAUCCCUAUCAUGUGGCUCUCACAUAGAUACUUCAAGUGUACAGUAAUCAAAAGUAAGGCACUGAAUUCUGGGCAACUCUUGUAAUUUCCAGAUUUCCCUCCAGUAUCACAAAUACACAGAAAGGCUGUAUAACAAGUUAUAAAACUCUUAUUCACAUAAUCCCUCACCCAAUGCCUUGCAGGUAAGUAAGAAUGGAAAAGUUUUUUAAGUAAGGUUAUGUAAUCAAAUGUAAAUCCACAGCAUUUUCCUGCAUUGUGUUACCUUCUAUCUUUAAUAAAAUAAAAGCAGACUGUCA